rnacentral:rRNA from 1 species
GAUCCUGGCUCAGGAUGAACGCUAGCUACAGGCUUAACACAUGCAAGUCGAGGGGCAGCAUAUUUCUAGCAAUAGAGAUGAUGGCGACCGGCGCACGGGUGAGUAACACGUAUCCAACCUGCCUUAUACUCGGGGAUAGCCUUUCGAAAGAAAGAUUAAUACCCGAUGUUAUAGUCUAACCGCAUGAUUUGACUAUAAAAGAUUUUCGGUAUAAGAUGGGGAUGCGUUCCAUUGAUUG